UACGAAGGGGGCUAGCGUUGCUCGGAAUCACUGGGCGUAAAGGGCGCGUAGGCGGAUCUUUAAGUCGGGGGUGAAAGCCCAGGGCUCAACCCUGGAAUUGCCUUCGAUACUGGAGAUCUUGAGACCGGAAGAGGUAAGUGGAACUGCGAGUGUAGAGGUGAAUUCGUAGAUAUUCGCAAGAACACCAGUGGCGAAAGGCGGCUUAC
rnacentral:rRNA from 1 species